UGUCCUUUUUCUGUUCCAGGAUAUCAUCUAGGAGACCAUGUUACAUUUAAUCAUCAUAUCUCUUUAGGCUCCUCUUGGCUGUGACAGUUUCUC